rnacentral:rRNA from 1 species
GAUGAACGCUGGCGGCGUGCCUAACACAUGCAAGUCGAGCGAGGGUUUGCUCAGUAUUGAGUAUUCUAAGACUAGAAUGUUCAAUUCUGAGCAAAACCAAGCGGCGGACGGGUGAGUAACGCGUGGGUAACCUGCCCUAUACACAUGGAUAACAUACUGAAAAGUUUACUAAUACAUGAUAAUAUAUAUUUGCGGCAUCGCAGAUAUAUCAAAGUGUUAGCGGUAUAGGAUGGACCCGCGUCUGAUUAGCUAGUUGGUGAGAUAACUGCCCACCAAGGCGACGAUCAGUAGCCGACCUGAGAGGGUGAUCGGCCACAUUGGAACUGAGACACGGUCCAAACUCCUACGGGAGGCAGCAGUGGGGAAUAUUGCACAAUGGGCGAAAGCCUGAUGCAGCAACGCCGCGUGAACGAUGAAGGUCUUCGGAUCGUAAAGUUCUGUUGCAGGGGAAGAUAAUGACGGUACCCUGUGAGGAAGCCCCGGCUAACUACGUGCCAGCAGCCGCGGUAAUACGUAUGGGGCUAGCGUUAUCCGGAUUUACUGGGCGUAAAGGGUGCGUAGGUGGUCCUUCAAGUCGGUGGUUAAAGGCUACGGCUCAACCGUAGUAAGCCGCCGAAACUGGAGGACUUGAGUGCAGGAGAGGAAAGUGGAAUUCCCAGUGUAGCGGUGAAAUGCGUAGAUAUUGGGAGGAACACCAGUAGCGAAGGCGGCUUUCUGGACUGCAACUGACACUGAGGCACGAAAGCGUGGGUAGCAAACAGG